ensembl:lncRNA
ACAACUACAGGUUUAAGAGGGGCCACGUCCAGGUCAUCCAAUAUGGCCGCCAGCGCUCUGGGAGAGGCAGGAAGAGGUGGGACUUGCUCAGGCUGUGUUACUUCCACCUCCGGUUUCCUCACAGAUUCACAUUCAGCUAGAGAGGAAGAGGAAGAUACUAACUCACUGAAGAGGAAGAUACUAACUCACUGAAGAGGAAGAUACUAACUCACUGAAGAGGUAGAGAGGAAGAGGAAGAUACUAACUCACUGAAGAGGAAGAGAGGAAGAUGCUAACUCACUGAAGAGGAAGAUACUAACUCACUGAAGAGGUAGAGAGGAAGAGGAAGAUACUAACUCACUGAAGAGGUAGAGAGGAAGAGGAAGAUACUAACUCACUGAAGAGGAAGAGGAAGAUACUAACUCACUGAAGAGGAAGAGGAAGAUACUAACUCACUGAAGAGGAAGAUACUAACUCACUGAAGAG